rnacentral:piRNA from 1 species
UCGCUGUUGCACACCAGGAUCUGAAUGA